CUACACAGAAGGGCCUGGAACAGGCACCCCCCUGGAUGAGGAGGGCAAAGCUGUUUGGGGGGGCUCUAACAGGAAGCUCUCUGUCACUACACCCCAACUCAAAGAUCCAGGACAGCCUCAGCAUCCCCUGGUCCUUUUGGUUGAUUCUGCUUCCUCAGGGACUGGCUGUGGCUUAUCUUCAGCUUACCUGAAGGUCAAAUGACAUCUGAGGAAGUGUGACAAGAAGCUGCAUGACAAGACAGUGGGACACCCCGGCCUUUAUGACCUCGCCUUGGUGACCACACCCUGUCUACGGACCUGACCUGCAGCCUCACAGGCAAGAGAAGUGGAGCUUUAGUCCCCUCGACAGCUAAGGGGUUAUGGGUAGUGAAGCCAACAAACAGAUCCUAGUGUGGUUGAGUGACAUCUCACAUCGAUCGUCCUGCAUCCUCGAUCUACUUCUCUCUUGGGAUUUGAGGGAAACCCAAUAAAUGAAAUAUACUUA